CUGAUAAUAGCGAAGGGGCUUAACGCACUGGUUUGCAAAACCAGCAUUCGUGGGUUCAAAUCCCAUCUAAUAGUCCA
rnacentral:tRNA from 1 species